UUGACCGUGUUCAAUCAACACCCAAAACUAAAUGGAAAAUUCUACAGGUUAUGACAUGAAUUGUAUACUGCUGAGUAGAGUGAUGAAUUCUCACCUCAUCCAAUCUAAAGAAAUGACUAAUGGAGCAAUAGCUGUCACAUUCCUCUUUCCGUUGAAAGAAGGGCUUCAUUGAAGAGGAUUCACGGAAGGAGAUGGAUCUGGAAGAGCUGAGAUCUUCAGGUGCAAAGGAUUUGAUGGAGCCAGACUCACAGCAAGAGACGCGCUGUUCAGGAUUCACCUCAGACCUUGGUCCACGAGCAAUGAAAGACAGAGGAAUGUUACGGAUCUACACCGUGCAAAGGGAACAGCUUGCAGAUGUGUGCUGUGCUUAGCUGACUACUGAGCACCUGCUCUUACCCACCAGGAUUUAGCAUCCUCAUGUGGCUUCCAGCAUCACCAGGUGGUCAGAGGCCAGAUGAAGAAUCAGCACCAAACCUGGCUGGUAGCCUAAGUAUCCCAGGCUAAUGCUUUAUCACUGCCUAGCACACGAAGCCGGAGCCGAAGAAGGAGCAUUCUGCAAUUAGAAUCUGAUGAACCCCGCCAUGCCACUUUCACAGGGAACCAUGCCAGGGGCACGUGUACAUGUUCAUCUCAUGUACAGAUCUGCAUGUAUUUAUUGCCCUCUGUCGUAUAAAUGGCCUCUUAAAUUCUUGGUCCUUAACACAUGUUGAAAAAUAAAAUGCUUGCAUUCUA